rnacentral:rRNA from 1 species
UUACGGAAGGCAGCAGUGGGGAAUAUUGCACAAUGGGGGAAACCCUGAUGCAGCAACGCCGCGUGAGUGAUGACGGCCUUCGGGUUGUAAAGCUCUGUCUUCAGGGACGAUAAUGACGGUACCUGAGGAGGAAGCCACGGCUAACUACGUGCCAGCAGCCGCGGUAAUACGUAGGUGGCGAGCGUUGUCCGGAUUUACUGGGCGUAAAGGGAGCGUAGGCGGAUUUUUAAGUGAGAUGUGAAAUACUCGGGCUUAACCUGAGUGCUGCAUUUCAAACUGGAAGUCUAGAGUGCAGGAGAGGAGAAGGGAAUUCCUAGUGUAGCGGUGAAAUGCGUAGAGAUUAGGAAGAACACCAGUGGCGAAGGCGCUUCUCUGGACUGUAACUGACGCUGAGGCUCGAAAGCGUGGGGAGCAAACAGGAUUAGAUACCCCGGUAGC